rnacentral:rRNA from 1 species
UAAAGGGUAGCGUAGGCGGCCUGUUAAGUCAGGGGUGAAGACGGUAGCUCAACUAUCGCAGUGCCCUUGAUACUGAUGGGCUUGAAUUGACUAGAGGUAGGCGGAAUGUGACAAGUAGCGGUGAAAUGCAUAGAUAUGUCACAGAACACCGAUUGCGAAGGCAGCUUACUAUGGUCUUAUUGACGCUGAGGCACGAAAGCGUGGGGAUCAAACAGGAUUAGAUACCCUGU